GUGCUUGCUUCGGCAGCACAUAUACUAAA
rnacentral:snRNA from 1 species